ACGGCGCCUGUCCGGCCAUGCUGGCUACGGGCACGGCUCGGAUGGCGUCUGGGCGGCCAGAGGAACUGUGGGAAGCCGUUGUGGGUGCCGCCGAGCGCUUUCGGGCCCGCACUGGCACGGAGUUGGUGUUACUGACAGCAGCACCGCCGCCGCCGCCCCGCCCAGGGCCCUGUGCCUAUGCUGCCCAUGGCCGAGGAGCCCUGGCAGAGGCCGCCCGCCGCUGCCUCCACGACAUCGCCCAGGCACACAGGGCUGCCACUGCCACCCGACCUCCUGGUCCCCCACCAGCACCACAGCCACCCAGCCCCGCUCCUAGCUCACCACCUCGGCCAGCCUUGGCCAGGGAGGAAGAUGAGGAAGAUGAAGACGAGCCCACUGAAACAGAGACAUCUGGAGAGCGGCUGGGCGGUAGCGAUAAUGGAGGUCUCUUCAUGAUGGAUGAGGAUGCCACCCUCCAGGACCUUCCCCCCUUCUGCGAGUCAGACCCGGAAAGCACAGAUGACGGCA
rnacentral:lncRNA from 1 species